UUUGCGCAGUAGGUAGCGCAUCAGUCUCUCAAGCUGAAGGUCCCAAGUUCGAUCCUCGAA
rnacentral:tRNA from 1 species